rnacentral:rRNA from 1 species
UACGUAGGGUGCAAGCGUUGUCCGGAAUUAUUGGGCGUAAAGAGCUCGUAGGCGGUCUGUCGCGUCGGCUGUGAAAACCUGGGGCUUAACUCCGGGCUUGCAGCCGAUACGGGCAGACUAGAGUUCGGCAGGGGAGACUGGAAUUCCUGGUAUAGCGGUGAAAUGCGCAGAUAUCAGGAGGAACACCGGUGGCGAAGGCGGGUCUCUGGGCAGUAACUGACGCUGAGGAGCGAAAGCGUGGGGAGCGAACAGG